GUCCUACGGGGCGCAGCAGUGGGGAAUAUUGGGCAAUGGGCGCAAGCCUGACCCAGCAACGCCGCGUGAAGGAAGAAGGCUUUCGGGUUGUAAACUUCUUUUCUGAGGGACGAAGAAAGUGACGGUACCUCUGGAAUAAGCCACGGCUAACUACGUGCCAGCAGCCGCGGUAAUACGUAGGUGGCAAGCGUUAUCCGGAUUUAUUGGGUGUAAAGGGCGUAUAGGCGGGAAAACAAGU
rnacentral:rRNA from 1 species